rnacentral:rRNA from 1 species
AGAACGACUCUCGGCAACGGAUAUCUCGGCUCUCGCAUCGAURAAGAACGUAGCGAAAUGCGAUACUUGGUGUGAAUUGCAGAAUCCCGUGAACCAUCGAGUCUUUGAACGCAAGUUGCGCCCGAAGCCAUCAGGCCGAGGGCACGUCUGCCUGGGCGUCACG